rnacentral:rRNA from 1 species
UACGUAGGGUGCGAGCGUUAAUCGGAAUUACUGGGCGUAAAGCGUGCGCAGGCGGUUCGUUAAGUUCGUUGUGAAAGCCCCGGGCUCAACCUGGGAACUGCAAUGGAAACUGGCGGGCUUGAGUGUGGCAGAGGGGGGUGGAAUUCCGCGUGUAGCAGUGAAAUGCGUAGAGAUCGGCAGGAACACCCAGGGGGAAACCAGCCGACUGGGCAGCGACUGACGCUGAGGUGCGAGAGCGUGGGGAGCGAACCGG